rnacentral:rRNA from 1 species
AGUGAACGCUGGCGGUAGGCCUAACACAUGCAAGUCGAACGGCAGCACAGUAAGAGCUUGCUCUUACGGGUGGCGAGUGGCGGACGGGUGAGGAAUACAUCGGAAUCUACUUUUUCGUGGGGGAUAACGUAGGGAAACUUACGCUAAUACCGCAUACGACCUACGGGUGAAAGCAGGGGAUCUUUGGACCUUGCGCGAUUGAAUGGGCCGAUGUCGGAUUAGCUAGUUGGCGGGGUAAAGGCCCACCAAGGCGACGAUCCGUAGCUGGUCUGAGAGGAUGAUCAGCCACACUGGAACUGAGACACGGUCCAGACUCCUACGGGAGGCAGCAGUGGGGAAUAUUGGACAAUGGGCGCAAGCCUGAUCCAGCCAUACCGCGUGGGUGAAGAAGGCCUUCGGGUUGUAAAGCCCUUUUGUUGGGAAAGAAAAGCAGCAGGUUAAUACCCCGCUGUUCUGACGGUACCCAAAGAAUAAGCACCGGCUAACUUCGUG